GGUGUCGGGCUGGCGCAUCGCCUCGGCUGGCGUCUAGCAGCCGACUUAGAACUGGUGCGGACCAGGGGAAUCCGACUGUUUAAUU
ensembl:miRNA